ACAUUUGUUAGUUGGUUUAUAGAAGCGAUAUCCAAAAGUUAAUUUAAGGAUAUCCCACAAGAUUGUUAUCACACAAAUAUUGCUUGUUAGCACACAACCCCAAAUCUUUAACAUGCUUAAGAUUUGUCUUUCUUUCCAACUACAUCUUAUGGAGUCAUGAAAAUAUUGGAAGAUCUUCUCAUUGACAAUCAUAUUGUUUUAGAAGUAUAUAUCCUAUAUAUGGAUAAUAAAUAACAUCUAACGAACUAAAUCUUAUUCGAGUUCGUUCUUCUCCUAAUGGAGAAAUAUAUUAUCUUAUGAUGCUAUUUUCCUUGAUAUCUUUCAAGGAAACUUAUCUAAAGUGUUACCUUUCCUUGGAUCAAAUCUAAGGAGGUAAUUACUUUAGAUGUCUUACUCAUCAACUUACAUUUCUUGAAUUCUUUGGAACAUUUUGCAAAGUAUUCGGACUUGUGUUUAUUCAAAAUAAACUAUAGUCCAACCGAGAGUGAUCUUCGGUGAAUGUUAUUCAACAUGAGUAAUAUUAUGUUUGCGGACAAGUGCCACUAACAUUUAAGUGAAUUAACCUCAACAACUUUGUGAUUCUUUCUUCUUUCCAAAAG
rnacentral:lncRNA from 1 species